rnacentral:rRNA from 1 species
AGAGUUUGAUCCUGGCUCAGGACGAACGCUGGCGGCAUGCCUAACACAUGCAAGUCGAACGGAGAUUUUCAGGAAGUUUACUUUCUGAAUUUCUUAGUGGCGGACGGGUGAGUAACACGUGGGUAAUCUGCCUAUCACAUUGGGAUAACAGGGUGAAAACGCUGCUAAUACCGAAUAAGCCGACGGAGGUGGGAGCCUCUGCCGGAAAAGGAGCAAUCCGGUGAUAGAUGAGCCCGCGGCUGAUUAGCUAGUUGGUGAGGUAACGGCCCACCAAGGCGACGAUCAGUAGCCGGCCUGAGAGGGUGAACGGCCACACUGGAACUGAGAAACGGUCCAGACUCCUACGGGAGGCAGCAGUGGGGAAUCUUCCGCAAUGGGCAAAAGCCUGACGGAGCAAUGCCGCGUGAGUGACGAAGGCCUUCGGGUUGUAAAGCUCUGUCUUCAGGGACGAAACAAAUGACGGUACCUGAGGAGGAAGCCACGGCUAACUACGUGCCAGCAGCCGCGGUAAUACGUAGGUGGCAAGCGUUGUCCGGAAUUACUGGGCGUAAAGGGCGUGUAGGUGGACUGAUCAGUCGGAUGUGAAAUAUCCAGGCUUAACCUGGGGGCUGCAUUCGAUACGGUCAGUCUUGAGUGCAGGAGAGGGCAGUGGAAUUCCCAGUGUAGCGGUGAAAUGCGUAGAUAUUGGGAGGAACACCAGUGGCGAAGGCGGCUGCCUGGACUGUAACUGACACUGAGGCGCGAAAGCGUGGGGAGCAAACAGGAUUAGAUACCCUGGUAGUCCACGCCGUAAACGAUGGGUACUAGGUGUAGGAGGUAUCGACCCCUUCUGUGCCGGAGUUAACACAAUAAGUACCCCGCCUGGGGAGUACGGCCACAAGGUUGAAACUCAAAGGAAUUGACGG